CACUGUUUACCUGGGAGAAGAGACCGACCCUCACCUGGCUACUCCCUCCUUUCAGCUAAUCCACACCGUAUGUGUUACUCCCUUGAAACUUGCAAAUCACCUUGGUGCCUGAGAGACCCUCUCCCGUGCCGGCUCCUGGAGGAGGCCCACUGCUGCGACAGCGCCUUGAAUUGAAUUUGGCUGUAAAGGAACACAAAAUAUUUAUGACAUCCACAUGUGCAAGCAACUGUUGCCAUGUUGCUAUUUAUAUAACCAUUUUACUGCAUAGCACAAGCUGAAGAAUAGAAAAAGCCAUUUCCAGUAUGUGUGUGUGCACGCACUCAUGUGCAUGUAGGACAAUAGAAAA